AUACAGAGACCUCGAGCGUUACUCGGAUUCACUGGGCGUAAAGGGUACGUAGGUGGCGUGGUGUGUUGGAUGUGAAAUUCCGGAGCUUAACUCCGGCGCUGCAUCCAAAACUACUGCGCUAGAGUAUUGUAGGGGAGAGCGGAAUUUCUGGUGUAGCGGUAAAAUGCGUAGAUAUCAGAAAGAACACCAAAGGCGAAGGCAGCUCUCUGGGCAAUAACUGACACUGAGGUACGAAAGCGUGGGGAGCAAAAAGGAUUAGAUACCCUUGUAGUCCACGCUGUCAACGUUGUGCACUUGGCCUUGGAGGAUUCGACCCCUUCAGGGCCGCAGCUAACGCGUUAAGUGCACCGCCUGAGGACUACGGCCGCAAGGCUAAA
rnacentral:rRNA from 1 species